UUUUCCGUUUAGUAGUAUUGAUUUCAACCAUGUUUUAGUUGAAUUGUUAGUAGUAUUGAUUUCAACCAUGUUCUAUUUUGGUUUUUUGCUAAAUGUUUGAUAGUUUUUUUGUUGAAUUCGAGAUUUAAGUUGGUUGCUAAUUUUACCUUCUAAUUUCAGAAUCAAUAUCAACAUUCAAAGGCGGAGUUUCUUCGUACUCAGCCACCCGACACACAGCUGACAGAUGAACAAAUGGAGGAAAGGUGGCUUGGGAGUGUUGGUGGUCCCACUAGGUUUGGCACAGCUUACGGAAUGCCACAUCGUGCAUUUCGUCGAUCCGAUCGCCCUGGAAGGCCUACAUUCUUCCAAUACCGAGUCGUUUGAUAGAGUGAGUGCUAUGGCCAUGGAGAAAAAGAUUGCCGAGCUAUCUAGCCAACUACAGGCCUCAGAGGAAAGGGAGAGGCGGAGGGACGUGCGGUUUGACGGUAUGAGGGCCCGAUUAGACGCGGCUUACUUGCUUCGAGGGGAUUCCGUCGUAUCCUGAUAAUGCUCGUAACCCCCAUACUCAAUCUAGUGGUGCGGAUGAUGAUGGGACUCACGUGUCAAACACACAAAGGCAUGUUUGAAUGUUAAUGUUGUGGUGGAUUUGUGGAUUGUGUAAGUGUUUUGUGGAUGUUUGUGAGGGGUGAAGUAGUCUAAUGUUGUAGACUAACUUAGUGUAGAUUUGUUUAAUGUUUUGUGGAUGUUUGUAAAGGUUGAAGUAGCUUAAUGUCUCUUGUGAAUGUUUGAAUGACGUUUUGAUUCAACUUUGAAGUAGUUUCAAAUUGAAUUUGAUGUAUUGGUGGUUGUAAUAUAUGUGUUUGUCGAAGUA